UACGGAGGACUCAAGCGUUACCCGGAAUCACUGGGCGUAAAGGGUUGCGUAGGCGGUUUUACAAGUCGGUCGUGAAAGCCUAAGGCUCAACCUUAGGACUAUGACUGAUACUGUAAAACUAGAGGAUGACAGAGGCAGAUGGAAUUCCCGGUGUAGGAGUGAAAUCCGUAGAUAUCGGGAGGAACACCUAUGGCGAAGGCAGUCUGCUGGGUCAUUCCUGACGCUGAUGCACGAAAGCGUGGGGAGCGAACCGG
rnacentral:misc_RNA from 1 species